rnacentral:rRNA from 1 species
GACGAAGGGGGCUAGCGUUGUUCGGAAUUACUGGGCGUAAAGCGCACGUAGGCGGCGGCGUAAGCGGGAUGUGAAAGCCCAGGGCUCAACCCUGGAAGUGCAUCCCGAACUGUGUCGCUUGAAUCUCGGAGGGGGACAGAGAAUUCCCGGUGUAGAGGUGAAAUUCGUAGAUAUCGGGAGGAAUACCAGUGGCGAAGGCGCUGUCCUGGACGAAGAUUGACGCUGAGGUGCGAAAGCGUGGGGAGCAAACAGG